AAAAAAAAAAAAAAAAAAUUCUCCAAGGAAAAUAAAUAAAUAAAUCGAAUGCAGAGGUGGAAAGUUUCGGGGGCUAAAAUGGAUUGCUACUAAAGGAGAUGGAAUUCGCGAUGCGUAGUGUGUGUACUAUUCCGUACCAAACACUCCACUACUAACUCUGCAACCAGAAAAAGAAACCGUAUACUCUUUUCCAGUUAUAAUAUUGCACCCAAAAAGUGAGGAUAGAUAAGUGAAGCCGAUGGGCAAGGACAAGGAAUUCGCAGCUUCCUCUUCAAACCCUAUUACCCACUCUAACAAUAACAGCGGCGAAGAUGAUUCCGAUCCCACGAAGAAUCCUUCUUUCCCCACCGUCAAUUUCUCUUCUCGAAAUGCUUCCUCCAAAUACGACUUUGUCAAAGUUAAGGUGUGGCUGGGCGAUCACGCUGAUCAUUACUACGUUCUGUCUAGGUUCUUGCUCAGCAGAAUGUUGACUGUCACUAAGAUCCCAAAUCAUGUAGCUAUUAAAAUAGCUCUUGAACUCAAGAAGCUGCUCAUAGAUAACAGUCUUCUAGAUGUUUCUCAGUCUGAUCUUGAAGCUAACCUAUUUAAGCUCAUGGAGCGGCGGGGGUAUGGGGAAGAGUACAUCAAUCGCUACAAGAUGAUGACAAGAUUUCAUCAUCAAAGAGUGCCAUUGGUAAUUCUUGUUUGUGGAACUGCAUGUGUUGGGAAGUCUACUAUAGCUACCCAACUCGCACAAAGGCUGAAUUUGCCUAAUGUCUUGCAGACAGAUAUGGUGUAUGAAUUGCUACGGACAUCAACAGAUGCACCAUUGGCAUCUACUCCUGUAUGGGCACGAGACUUCAGUUCCUCUGAGGAGCUAAUUACUGAAUUUUGUAGAGAAUGUCGAAUUGUUCGUAAAGGUUUGGCUGGUGAUUUGAAGAAAGCAAUGAAAGAUGGAAAGCCAAUUAUAAUUGAGGGGAUACAUUUGGAUCCAAGCAUUUAUUUAAUGGAUGAAGAAAAUAAGUCACCGGCUAAUGUGCCAGAAAAAACUAAGGAAGCAAACCCUGUAUCUGUGAUUGAUAAUGAUCCUGCAAAACAGGUGGAAAAUAAUCCUGCAAGUGUUAGUGUAAGUCAUACUGAUAAUAGCAACUCCAUUUCUGGGAAUGUGAGUUUGGAAGAGGGGAUAUCUGAUGAUCAGGUGAAUAAUGUCCCAGAUUCACAGGAAUCUGUUUCCACAGCAGGCUGUAUUUCUGAUAAUAGAGCUGAAAUUGUUACAGAUACUAGGAGAGAGAGAGAUUCUUCUGUUAGGAAAGAAAAAUUGGGUCCUAAACCAAUAAUUAUACCCAUAGUUCUGAAAAUGGCUGAAUUUGAUCACAAGGCAUUACUUGAGGAGUGGAUAGUGACUCGCACAUUUAGUGAUAAAUGCCCAGUCCAGGAUAAAGAUAGGCUAAUUACCAAUCUGAAAAUCAUUCAGGACUACCUUUGCUCGUUUAAGUCACAGGGUUUGACUGUUGCCAAUAUAUCAGCAACAACAUUCCCUCAAACGCUUGAUUGGCUGCAUGGAUAUCUUCUUCAGUGCAUUGAACAAGGCAUUUCAUCAGUGUCCAGUGAAAUUGGUCGACAGCCAGCUGAAAAUUAGAUUAGAUGCAGAUGCUUGCUGGGGCACUGGCAGGUACAAACUGAACCUUCAGCCAUUCAUGUAGCUUCUUGCAAUGGCAGAACCUGCAUUUAUCCAUAAUUCACUUGCCCCAUCUGAUGGACCAAAUUUUGGGCUUUGGAGAAGUGCCUAGCAGAUCAUUUAUCGUAUCAAGGCAUUAUAUUACUGAUGAUCAUGCGGGUAGAUAAGAGGGUUCAGGAAGGAAUGAUUUUCAGUUUGCUUCGCUGCUGAUGUAUACUUUAUAUUCACCAUGCAUUUGUAAACAUUAUAAAGGCAGGCUGAUUUCGACAAUAAAAUGUCAGCAAUUUUGAAA